CUGUCUUGAAUAUUAUCUUCGUCUGUCUUCAGAUUUUCGUAGAACUUGCGUGAUUCUUCUUUCAUUAAGAAUUGUUUUAAAUGAAGUAAAUCUUUAUGCUUCGAUUUUUUUAUGGGAAGUUUGUCCUCAUAAAUUGGUUUCAAGGCAUUGGUUUCAAUGUUUCCCAGAAGACAGGAAUGUCUUUUAACUUGUCAUCGCAAAAAACACGCACGCGGUAGGCAUAACUAGCCAAAUUAUACUGGGCUUUGUCAUCACUAAGUCGACUGCGUCUCCUCAUAAUCGGUAGUACUGUAAUAAGACCGCAAAUUAUAGUAGAGAUCGAAGGUAAUUAUUAAUAAUUUAAACUAAAAUUCUCAUUACUAGUUCUGUUACUUCAAAAUUUAAAUACUAUUUUUAUUAAAACAAUUUUUAUGCAUAAAUUACUAUUCACAAAAAACCAUAUUUGUUCAUGUUUGUUAUAUUCUUAUACUACUGAGUGAUACAUACAUAAGCAUAAAAGAAGUUUACAUAACAAUAAAUACUAAAUAGCAAAUGUUUAAAUGUGUAGGUGAUAAUAUUCAGACAUACGCAAUAUUAUAUAUUUUAUAUUUUCCAUAAUAUUCUACUUUUGGUUUUAUUACAUUUAGUAUUGUUUAAUGAUUUUACUAUAAACAUUAAAUAUAAUAAUAUGCAUUUCAAUAAACACAAUUUUUAUUUUUGUCUGAAUAUAUUCAAUUUGCGUCUAUUUAAUUGUUAUGAAGAGUAGCAAAAUGUCCCAUCAAUCAUUUUGUCUUUUUAAAUCGACAUAACAAUAUUAGACAUAUUAGUGAUAAUAUAACUAAAAGAAUUUUACCUAAUUAAUUAUAAUGAAUUAUAACGUAAUAUUCAGAUUUCAAAUGAUUUGUAACAUUGUGAUUUAGAUAGAUAGGUACAUGCUGGGUUAUUCAAUAUUUAUUAGCCAUACUCCCCUUCAUUUGUGUGGGUAUAUAUAUGCAUUACGUAAAUGAAAUUCUAUGUUUUGUUAUAUACAACCCGAUGAAACGAGUUUGGUACCCGCUUUCCAUUCGAAUGCAAAUUAAUGUUUUCCUAAGCCAAACAUGGCAAUACUGUAGCAGGUGAAUAGAAUUUACCAUAAAUCAGAAGAACGGUCCCAUCAAAAUAUAAUUUGAUGUUAAUUUUCUCAAUAAUACUACAAUAAUGUUACUGUGCUAAUGGUUUUCAGUGUGGGAAUUAUAGCUGCCUGUUGUAGGUACCAGUUUUAAACCAUGAUUAGGUCGUAUACAAUUUUAACUGAGUAGUAGGUAUAUACAUUUUUUGAUAACUUUCUGCUUUCCGAGUCCCGGUUAAAUUAUUUUAAUUACUAUAUAUUUUUUAAAAAUUAUUUUGAUUAUUUUUUUAGUAUAAUCGACCAAGGUUUAUAAUACCCUAAUUAUAUUAUAAUAAUAUUUAGGCACAUGUCAGCGUAAAUAUAUGUACUGUUAUAUAAUAUAUUAUGGUACCUAGUAUAAAACGUAUUCAUAUUGGUAUUGAAUUUUAAUGUGGUUUAAAAUAUUUUAAAACCGUUAUAACUACUGAUCAUUUUAUUGGAAUUAAAAUAAAUAAAUAAAUAAAUAAAUAAAUCUACAGACUUAAAUUCUUACAAUUAUUCACAAUAUGAUAUUAUGUGCAGUUUAUUUAAAAAUAAUAUAACUUUUGGACUUUUGGUUUUAUUGUGUUACGGAAAUUGUUCAGGGAAAAAAUAUUUUAGUGAAUAAGAAAUUAUAAAAAUAAGAUUGUUAUCUUUAUGACUUUAGUAUAAAUUUAUUAGAUGCAUAAUAGUCUGUAAUUACAGUAUAAUUUGGCGCAUAUAUUAUAUAGGUAUCUCCUUAACGUAGCAUUGCAUUAUUUUUAUUUAUUUGGUUCAUAAAAAAUGUUGGUCAUCUUAUAAGAUAAAAUAUAUAUAAUUAUAAAAAUAAUUAAUUGCCGUUUUUAUUGCUUGGUAAAUCCAGUGAUGAUAGCUGGUAAUCAUUAUAUAGUACUGUACUACUGUCACUAAUCGUACGCGACAUCACCCUGUCAUCAAUUUGUACAAUAUUGUCAUAUUGAUAUGGUAGAUUUGCCGCUCGAUGGGGUUUAAUCUCCACUUAGCACUGCGUCUAUGCAUGGCAGUCUUUAAAUACAUUAAUAUAUAAUAGGUACUUAUUAAUACUGUUGCGUGAACGAUUAUAAUAUUAUAUUGUGUACGUAAUAUAAUAGUAUAACACCUAUUGCAUCAGAAUUCGUGUUUUGCAUUUAAUCAGAUGUACGCAAGGUUUAUUGUCGUAUUAAGUACUUACCAACUCACAUAAUUCCACGUGAACAAUGAUUAAUGCUAGAAUAUUCAUCUGUAGUAUGUUGAUCGAAAAAUAAAAAGUUGAAUGUGGUUGUAUGUAAGUUGUAACUAUAUGAGAUUGUAUAUUAUAUUGCCGUUGUUACAUUAUCACGACAAGGCAUUUAUAUUAUAGUGGUAAUUGGUAAUACUAUAAAUUCUGAUAGACUGAUAGUUUGGUACUUAGGUACAAAAAUAUAGGUACUAAUAUGUUAUGUAGGAAAUGUAGUUCAUUAGCACAUUAAUUUCCAUAUCAAAAAUAGGGAAAUAAAAAAUUUAAAUGGCAUGAGUCGAUGGCAUCAAGUAUAGGUAGUCAAUAAUACAUAAUCCUAACUAAAAGUAUGACAUUAAUAUUUAACUAAUUUAUACAUCUGUCCUAUUUAAACGUUUUGACAGUUAAUAAUAUUAAAGCUUGCAAGAGUUAUGCGAUUUUAAUACAAAUACUCAUACACACACACACACGAAAUAUAUUACAUAUAUAUUAUGUAUAUAACUAAAUGACAUUUUUUGUGUUAAUACCGUACUUACAUAAAAGUAACUUGAUGAUUUUACAAAAAUUUAGUAAAACUAUAUUAAACCAUAUUUAUUAUUUACUGAACAAGUCGGUCAAGUUCAGUAAAUUACAUCUAUAUUUUAUAUUCAUAAUAUUGUUAAUUGUUAUUAUCCAUUAAUUCAGUGUAUAUAUUAUACAGAAUCACAACUUGUAGUAUAUUUUUUAUAGGCUUAACCUAAUAGUUUUGUAACCAUAAGUGUCUAUAAAAUAUACUAAUACAAUAUAUUAACAUAACAUUAUAAAAUUUUGUGCGUUGGAAAUUUUCUAUGAAUCUCAAACAUCUUGUACACCCGAAGUUUGUUGAAUUAUUAAGUAGGCAGGAAUGAAUAAAAUUAUGAUUUUAAGUUGUUUGUUUCAAAUAGAUACUAUUGCGUUUGUCAGUAUAAUUUUGUUUUGUAUUCAUUUCAAAUUUUAGAUAUAAUAAUGUCUAGUGAGUCUAUUAAUUAUAACGUAUUUCAUAAUUUAAUUUCUAGACUGACUCUAUUAGUGGUACCGCUAUUGAUUAAAAUAUGGUCGACUAAUGCUAAAACGUUAUUAUUAUUUAUAUAUUAAUUCAUCGUUUAUUAGGUUUCUAAACAUAAGUUUGAAAAACCUUAUAUUCCCGCUGUGUCCGUCCCUUUGUCCUACAUUCGUCAUACUUACCUGCAGUAAGCACAUACCUAGUUACUAUUGUUUAUAUCAAAAUUUUAUAGACGUGGUUCUAUUCAAAGUAAAUUUAUUCUAUAUAGCCAGUAUUAAAAAAAUAUCAAAAUAAUAUGACUAAUAUAGAUUCACAGUAGCCAAUAUUAGGAAAUAGUUACCAAAAUAUAAAUAUUACCAAAUAAUUAUUUUUAAAUUGUAUAAUAUGGAGUUAUAGUUUAUUGCGUUGUAUUAAAAUGCGUUUAAAAACCGGGAAUUUAGUAUGCUCGCAGAGGGAGCUUUCUUAACUUGUUGUAUAUAGGUUAGGUACUAUUUAGGUUAUAUAUGGUUAUCGGUAGAUUGAUAUUUAUGUGUUCUUAACACUUAGCAGUAUUUUAAGUUUACUUUUUAAAUCAUACAAUUGAAGUUAACAUAUCAUUAUGCGAUUAGCUAUAUAGCUUGCAGUUAUUCAACCUAGUUACAUAAAUUUGCUAAAACAUAAUGUUAAUAUAAUAAUUCGGAUUUUUAAUUGAAUAGUUGGUUGUAUGAAAAUAAAAUAAAAUGGAAAUGGAAAUAUUUUAAGAAGAAAGUUUUAUAUUUUAAGAAAAUUAUUUUUUACUUUUAAGUUAAAAACUAAACGCUGUCGCCUGUCAUUAUAACUUAACUAAAACCUAUUAUCGUGAUAUCGUGCAAGAUGUUUGAAUUACAUAAUAAUAUGUGUGCAAAGAUAUUACCUAUAUGGAAAAUCGUAUUAAAGCGUGUGAAAUAAAAUAAAAAUGUAUUGCACCUACUAAUAAGCUAUACGUGUCCCGUUCAGAACCGCGUUGAAGGUAACUGUAAUAAUUUAUAUGAACAAGUGCAAUUGGCAUUUCGAUAGUAUUGGCGUCGGUUCUACAUACAAAAAUGUAUAAAAUUAAACAAUAUUAUAUUGUGUGUACGCUGUAAAUGUUAUAGGUACAAUAUUUGGUCAGCGUAGGUGUUCUCGUUGGGUCAAGACCAGUAUCGUCCCGUUAUAUAGUAUACGAUGGUGUAAGUCAUAAUAUUGGUAGUUUCACCGUGUACAGCGUAUAUUUACCGAGAAACCUGCCUUACAGUUUAUGUAAGUACGUCGGUUUUGCACGGGCUGUUUUGAUUAGUUUCAGUCUUCAGAUAACCGAAGAAGGUCUAAAAAGUGCUUAGCCAACCGACAUCCAUGUUAUGUAUCCGAUUCCAUCACCUUAAAACUCUCCGACAAGAUAAAUUUGUGUACUAGAGCGUAUUUGCCGCGUACGACCAAUGCACGUGCCACGUGCGUGCAAUGUUGGUAGGUUUAGGUAAAUAAUAUUAUUACUACGAAAUCAUUUUAUCCUUAUAAGUUCGGCUCGUGGCGUGUGCAGACGACUACCGGGUACGACGGUAUGUAUCUACGUUUAAGUUGUCGUUUUCCCCUUAGUUGGUUUUUGAAAGUUUUGACUGACACGAAUAGAAUAUUCGGAAUAUUUCCCUUACACUAUUACUUAUUAAAGCGAGAGCUGCACUAAUUUAAAAAUUGUCCGUCACUAAUUUGUCCAGAAAAUUGUAUGUUUACCUUGUGCGAGACCUGGUAGUAUAGUACUGCAGGGGCACGCAUGCCGGACGUGGAGUGAUGUGUAAAUGUAAGACCGCCAACAUUUCUAAUUUUUUUCAGUUUGAUCGUAUUUUAAAAUAUAUUAUAAUAUUAUAUAGUAUAUACUGUUAUGACAAGAAAUUAUUUUACACAUAAGACAAAUAAAAACGUAUUCAAUCAUAAAAAUAUAUAAAUUAAGUAGGUAUAUAAUAUUAAAUAUAGGUAUAGGUAGUCACGUGUACAAACAAAAUGUAACAUAAGGAAAUUAAUAUUGUAUUGUUGUUACAAUCAUGACACUUCGAGUUUUAAUCGGGCGUAUAAAGGACUUAUAUGUAGGGAAACAGUUUAUAUUAUAUAACAUAAUAUGAUGAUUUUACUUUUGCAAAAGUUCAAACAGGUUGGGUAUAUGUAGAUUAAUUUUAGUGUGUUGUUGAUGGCUUUCGUUUCUGAAAUGGUGUUUUCCUAGUAUUUCUGAUGUACGUUUGAAGUCGUAUACGUACGCCAUGAUCGAGUUUGUGAAAUUCAUGAGACUGUGCUUGUUUAUAUGUGAUUUCACUUUCACAUGCAUAGCACUGCUUCAUCGCCAUUUUUUGAUUAAGGAUUAACGCGUUAUCCAAAUAAGCACAAUUCGAACCGUAGGUAUAUUAUCGUCAUUGGUAUAAUAGUACUAUAGGUCCUCUUCACUGCGUCGUUACUCGUUAAUCGUAUUAAACAGUAUGUGUGAAUAGUUCUACGGAAUGUUAAAUAAAUGUAAUAUGUUGUCUCUAAUUGCUCCUCAAACGUAAAGUUGCAGCUUUAGAUUUUCUGUUAGCUUUUUUUGUAUAAACUCUCAGACAUUCUUUUAUUCGAAAACGGCGUCUUCUAACUCUUGAGAAAUCGGUCGACGCAUUCACAUAGUCCCAUCGAUCGUUCUCCACAUAGAUAUAUAGUGGAAUAUAUUAUAUUUGACUUUAUGUUGAACAGCUGCUGCGCAUAAUUGACGGCAUAAAUGUUUUAAUUAGUUUUAGUUUAGAGAAACUCCGUUUACAACUAUAUAGUCACUAGCAGUGUUUCUAUUUAAGUUACAGGAAAUAAUAUACUCAACGGGAACCAUGUUUUUAGAAACACAUCUAGCAACUAUUAUUAUUUUCAGCGAUUUUUUUUUCGUUAAAUUUAUAUGCUUUUUAUUUCAUUCUGCUCGCAUCCUAGUAUUAUGCCCACCAAAUUUUGUAAGCAACGCGUUAAACGUACGCUUCGCAUAGGUACUAUUAGCUUGUUCUAAGUCGUUAAAAAAUAAUAAAAACAUUGCAACAGCAAUAUUUAUGAACAACUAUGAAAGUGGGUGUUGUGUUUUAUUAUCGUUUUUUCUAAUUUUAAAAUUUCUUUGACAUUUGAAUAAUAUACUCUGAUAAAUAUUAUUACUGUUCAAUGUCAUUGAAAGUAUAGAAUCAAACUUUAUUUUUAUGUUUGGCCUACAAUUGAUCACUUUUUCAUGGAUGUUCUGUAUCGUAUACGAUACAAAAUUCUAGGUGAUUAGGCUUAUUCUAAAUUCUACAAAUCUCUGCGAUGAAUGCACUUAUUGAUUUUACAAUGUAUGUGUGUUUUUGAUUUUUUUGUGUCUGUCAUCACCUUUGGCGAAAUUAAAAACACUUCAAUUUUCUUCAACAGCAUCUUUUCUGACAGGACUGUAGGAAAGUGUAUCUAGUUGGUACCUACUUUUGACCCAAAAGUAAAAAAUUCCCAAUAGUUUUCAAAAGCGUCAGGAAAAACAAAUUAAAUUACUAAAUAGUUCAUGCUGUAAUCAAAAAAUCUAAAAUAUGUAUAAACACAGUUAUUUUUUACAGACAUUUUAAGUUAGAAUUUGCACGAAAUUAUAUAUUAAAACCAAGAAUAACGGAUUUAGUUCUUUUUUUGUUAUAUAAAAAUAUUAUUCAUAAGUACUUGAGACUUUUAGAGUAGGUACAUUAUUAUAUUGUAUAAAGUAUUAUACAAAUGAUACAAUUUUCAAAUGAAAUUCUUUUGGCAAAAUAUAAUUUAACCUACGGUAGUACUAUUGCCUAAUAGUAAAAUUAAUUUCUUUGAUCAUAAUAAUAUUAUACAAUUUACUUAAUGAUAUUAUAGGCUGACAUGCCGUAUUCGUUCAAAAUUGUUUUUCGUAUACGAUAAUGGUUAUUGAAUUCAAAUUCUACAGUGAAUCUCUAGAUACCCAAUGUACAGCAUAGCGUUAUCCAUUUACUCGCUUUUUUAGUGUAAAUAUUUCAAUUUGUAUUUCAUUUUUGUAAUAAUAUGUUAAGAAUAUAUUUUUGAACUCUGUUUUGUCUAUUUGUGUACAUUGUGAUUUUUGUUAUUGCUAUUAUAUUAACUGCAUAUUAAUAAGAUACUGUCAGUUUUAUCAAAUUAAUAUAUUAUAAAACAAUAUUUUGUGGUCCAAAUUCUCAAAUUCAUAUACCUACUAUUAUGUUAAGUAACUACAUUGUUUCAUCCACGUUAAACUGCUUCAAUCAAUAAUUUCGUAUGUUUAACAACGGCCAUAAUUUGUAACAUAAUAUCAUAUUUAUCUUGUGUGGUUUCGACAAGUUCACUAUUUUAUUUUUUAGCAAUAUUACGUUAAUUAAUGUUGGCCAAAUUUAAUUUAAAACUCCGAAUUACGUAACUUUAGAGCUUUUGCUCACUUGUCUAUAUUAACGCUUAGCGGUGGAUAAGAAUCACUUGGGUAACGAUUUCGGUCCGUAUACUUUUCGUUGAACCUUUUACGGACUACAAAACAACAUAUUAACAUGCGAUAUUCCGCUUGUACUGCUCGUCAGUGUGUGUUGUAAUGAGAUGCUGGUAGGUAUUUUCUAACAUAAACCGUAUUUUAUUACUCCAAAACGUCACAUUGUGACCCUGACAGACAUUUGUCAGGGCUUGGUACCGGGCGAGAAUUUAAAUUACACACGAAAUUAAGAAACAUUCGAGAAAGAUAGACGAAGAUAGAUCUCGGGCUGGAAAUAUAUAUUUACAUUUGUUAAACACCUCUCUGGUGUGCUGUUGUGUAAGCUAAACGUUAAUAAUGACUUUCAACAGAGACGAACUUCUUUUAAGUUAUUAAUUUAUCUAUAUUAUAGGUUUAUUAUUGUGUAUUAUGGUUUUUAUUUAUCCAAUACUUUUUUGAUAAAAGUUCCAUUACGAAAAUAUGUUUUCAAUAGUACGUAUAGGUAUGCAUUUUUAACGAUAAUUGUGUAACGUUAUUUCAAAUCAUUUAAGAAUGUCCGUCUUGUUCGUAUAUGCAAUUGGUAGGUACAUUUAAGUUUUGAUACCUGUAUUUUUUAAUACAAUUUAAACACUGAUAAAUUGUAACGAAUAUUAAAUAAUAAAAAUGAUGGAUGGCUUGUAUUUUUCACAUUGAAAGUUAAUUACUGUUAAUCAAAUAAUUAAUAUAGUUAAUAUAUUUAAUUGACAAAAUUGUAGUUUGAGAUGACUAUUUUAUGGCGUAGGAAUAUAUUUAUAUGAUUUAAAUAACAAAAUCUAAGAUUAAAAGAUAACUAGUUUAGCUGAUUCGCUGUUUUGCGUGUUUGGAGUAUGUAAUAUUGGAGUCUACGAUAUGUAAAGUUAUAUUUAUUUACAAUUAAUAAUAGGUUCGAGAAUGAUGUAGCAUUAUUAGUAAUAAGUGUGCUUAAAUAAUGAUUUAGUUAUUAUUUUACAUUACUGUAAUCGAUUAAAAUAGGUAAAAUUUGCGUAGAUUUAUGUGAUUCAAAAUUAAUUCCAAUAAUAAUAUUACCUAUAAGAGUUGUAAUUUAUUCACGGAUGUAUGAUAUAUUUGUACGUUUUGGGUCUUUAGAGUGUUUUGUAUUAUCAUCUUUGUACACUUGAAACGCGUGUACCGUGACAGUCGAAUUUCACUAUAUCCUGUCUAAUAAAUUUAACACCUGAAACGACGGUAUUACCACGCAAGUAUAAUGUUUCCCGAACACCAAAACGAAUUUUAAAACAACCAAAAAUUAUUAUUUUAUACACCACGUGCGACCACCAGUGGUAUAAGAUUCUGUAAAACAAUAACCAUAAAUUAAACGGCCGCCGUCAUUAUUAAAUAAUAAUUGUCGCUUUCCUUUUAAUGGACCGCCGUUAGUCUUGUGACCGUCGAAUGACGUCCACAUUACGCCUACUUAGCUGAGUAAUUGCAUUUUAGGAAAGGAAAAAAAAACACAAAAUAAUCAUUAUUGAAAUAGUUUUGGUUCUUAAAAAAGCAAACUUAUUGAUAUAUUAUUAUUUGUUCGUUUAAAUAAUUUCACUGGUAAAUAUUUGUCUCGAUGUACUGUUUUAGAUUUGUUUGCGGCGUUAAAUAGUUUUAUAGUUUAUGUUUUGUUGAAUACUAUAACUUUCUAUUAAAUGGUUUUUAUUAAUUUAACUCUACUACAGUUUUUCUGAAACUGACGUGGUAUGUUACGGAAAAAAAUUUAAUGAAUCAAUGGUAGUAUAAAAACGUAAAAUAACGGAGUCUAAAUUUUUCAACUCCUUGUACGUAGACAUCACCACCUAGGUACACUAUUAAUUAUUAUAUAGUAUCACUUCAUAAAUAUUUUAGGCAGUUAAUUUAUUUCGAGAUGCAGUUUGGUAUAGGAAGGUUACCAGAUAUCAUUAUUGCAUAAGAAUUAAUAUGAAAACUUCUUAUUUCGUAUAUUAUGGUAUUCUCAACUCUUUACUUUGUAAUAAUUUUGAUACCGUUUAAUGCAUAUUGUAUGUCUAAGAUAAUGAACACGAUUUUGCAUAAUAGGUAGUUGCUUGAUAAUGUUUUAAUAGUUGUGGUUUGAGAAAGAUUUAUGCUUAUUAUUUAUUACGUCAUAGAAGUAUACCGUGAUGAUUGUAAGUAGGUACCAAUUAACGGUAUAUACUACCUAUAAUAGUAUGGCAGUUGGUAACACAAGGCGUAAGUCGUACUAUAAAUUGGUAACGAAUUGUAGAUUUGACUAACCAUAAAAUUAAAAAUAAUAAUAUAUAUUAUAGAUACUUAGUUGAAAGUCGAUUGAAUAUUUUUUAAUGAAAUAUGUUUGUAUUGUUAAAUAUGAAAAAAUGAAUAAGUUAAAGCACAAAAAAAUACCCAAGAUAUAAAUCUAAUUAUAAUAUGUUAAGACCUUAUGUUAUUAGACCUAUAAAUUAUUAGUUAUUGUGUUAAUGUUUAGUGUUUACAUUGUGCAUAUAGAUUAUAGUUAUAAUUAAUUAAUGUCGAAAGUGAUGAAACAUCGAUUUAUUUGAAUUUUUGAUUUAUCUAUAAACGCAAAUAUUGUCUUAAAUUGACGUGAAGUAGGUAGGCUUGUUUUUGCAAUUAAUCUAAUUGCCAUAAAAUGUUUAUGUAAAAACUAUAUUAUUAAUGUGUGUUUUUGUCUUUAAUAUACCAGACAUUUUAUAAAAGAUAUAUUCAUAAAGAUUAAAGCUUAGUAUUACCUACCAUAUAAGUUAAAAUAUCAAACAUUAAACAAAUACAAAAACAUCGCUCACACAGAAUAGACGUGGGAUAAUGAGAAAACUUUGUCAAGUAUAGUUAUUUGAAAAGGUCUUUAUUAAUGUAGGUAGCUUUUUGCUAGAGAUGCGAUAUCUUGCGCUAUAGCUGUAUGUAUUUAAUUAUUAUGUAUUUUAUACAUAACUUGUAAAAUAUAAUGAUGUAUGAUAUUAAUUAACUUGACGAAAUAUUAAUUAUUUUUGACAAUCUGCCAAUUAUUAUUAUUUAAUUAAAAAAAACUUCUAUAACAUUAAUUUAAUAGUUUUUAGAAAUUUAGAAUAUAUACCCCACGUAUAAUAGUUUAUUAUAAAGUUUUUAAUAAUAUAAGCCUUAAUUUUAAGAAUUUUAUAAUGUUUUAUGUUUUAAUUUAUUUUUUCUCGAAUCUUUUUUAGAAAAGUUUAAAGUAACCUAAAAUACCUGAGGUGUAUUUUUCUAACAAUUUUAAAUAUGUUUAAUCAUUUUGGUUUUCAUUGUUCUUUUACCUAUACCUAUAAGUCAAAACCAACUUAUAUUAUAAUGUAUCUCACCUUUUGACUCUUCGUGAUUUAACUUUGAAGAUUUAAAAAUAAAUCGUAUAUUGUAAUUCAUAAAUCAUAAGUAAUUCAUAACUAUUUAAUUUAAAUACAUGAAAGAAUUCAUAUGAUUUUAACUUUUUAAGAUACCUAGGUAUUCAUAUUUCCUGCUAUAUGGUAGGUACAUAUUACAUUUUAUAAACCUAUAUAAAAGACCGACUCAAUACGUCAAAAUGUAUUUUAUUUAUUAAAAAAUAGUUUAUAAUAUGUUAUUUGAUUGGAUCACGAGGCUAUAUCAUCGACUUAACUUAAAUUGAACUGAAUUUUUAAAAAUAAUUUACAAUUAUUAUAUUGUAGUAAUAUGGUUAUUUUCUAUAAGAAAUAUUAACGCAGAAAUACGUAUCUAACAAACGUCAUGAUGACUGGGUAUAAAUCAUACAAUUUGAACAUGUUACAAAUAAACAUUGUACUAUAAUUUAAAAUAUAUAAUAUAUAACAAAAGUUGACUAUUUUAGACGUGAUAAGCAGAACAUUAGGGCAAGAGUAUGAUCACAUUAGUGUAAUAAUAGUUAUUGGUAUUACUUCUAGGAGGAUCAAAUCGAUUUUACAUAAUAUCACUGAUUGUUAGAUAUUUUUUAUAAUUAUGUAUAUUUGGUAGGUACAUAGGUAUUACACAUUUAUAAGUUUAGAGUUUACGCUAGUAAAAAUCACACUGUAAAGUUGAGUUUUUAUAGUAGAUACCUAUGCACGAUAUAAUUGUUAAUGUACCUAAAUUACUAUAAACGACAGAAAUUAUUUAUAUAAUUGCUUUAAAUAAAAGCGAAAUUGACAGUAAAAAAUAUUAAAUAUUUAGUAUACAUUUAAAAAUAAUGGUCAUGUGAUAUAAAUAAUAGAUACGCAGGAUAUACCAUACAAAUAUAUAAGCUUAAAUUUAUAAAUGGAUUAUUUGUUACUUAGACAGUUAAAAUUAAUAAUAUUAAUAAAAAAUAAUUUAUUAUUCACGUUAUUGUUUUCAAGUUAUCGUACAUAUUUUUAAAUUAAUUUAGUUAACUAGGUAAUAUUAUAUUAAGAUAUCGAUUAAUAGAUUUUUUGAUAGACUUAAUAUGAAUAUUAUUUUCCGUCAUAAAUGUUAACUAUAUACACACAAUAAUCAUGUAGGUAGGAAGUAAAUCAGUACUAAUCGUUUCGUCGUUUUUAGCGAAAACAUCUCAGAACCGAUUGAUUUGUGCUGAUGAUAAAAAUGUACGAAUUCAAAAUAAAAGAGGUUACGCAAAUAAAUAAUAUUGUUCUGUACAAAAUAUAAAACGAUGCUUCUUUUAACUUUUAAGAGUAUAAUAUUUCUCCAUAUUAGGUAAUAUUGAUAUUAAAAUAUUGUCUCAUUUAGUUCGUAUUAAAAAUAUAUGGAUCGUCUAAAUAUUUAUCAUUUGGACACUCUCGUUCGACGAAUAAGUAUAAAUAAUUGGUGUGUACAAAUAAAACAUAAAAUAUAUAUAUUUUAAUCUUUACUUAAAUUGUCUAUUAGUACUUACCUUAUAAUUAUAAUAUAUUCAAAGGAAGACUGACACGUCAAUAAACAAAGGAACAAUGGUUUAUAUUAUAUUGUGUUCGUGAUCACAGCAUAUUUUUUUAUGAAAAAAUGUUUUUAGAUGGGUAAUACAAAAUACAAUUAUACCUUACACUACUAUUAAUUAACUAUGAUUACAAAAUAUUAUGUAUAUUGUUAGGUAGUUUUAAAUAUUAAUAAUAAAAGACUAAGUUUUAUUUAUUCAUUUAUUUAUUGAAUACAAUUCCAACCACAACAAUAUUAAAAAAAGAGGGAUUAUUAUUACAAUUGAAAAUAGUUGGCAUGAGAGAUUUAACUUCUACUCAAAUUUUAAAUUUAAUAGAAACAUGCAUUAAAGUUAUUUUUAAUUACGAAAAACAAAACAUAAAUAAUAUAAAUAACAUGAGUAAACUAUAAUUUCCUGUAAUAGGUUAUUAUGUACUAUAAAUAAUGUAACUUAUAAAAAAAAAAUUUAUAAAUUCUUUAAUAAACAAACAAAAAAACGACACAAAUAAAUCAAAUGAAAUUUUAGAUAAAAAAAAUACGUAAGUGCCUAUAUUAAAAUAUGUUUUGUGAAUAAAGAUUCUAUCUGUAUUAAUCUAAAAAGUAGUUUAAAACAUUUAAACUAUAUAUUUAUUUAAAAAACAAUGUUAUAACCUAGCUAAUACAAAUAUCAAAGCUAAUUGCCCAUCUAACGAAAUGUUUAAAACAUUUUUUUUUUUUUAUUAAAUAUUCUAUUUUUCAAUUGAAAUAAUUAUUUAGAGUUUCUCUUUACAGAACUACGUUCACUGAUAAAAUAAUAAGUAUAUUGUAUGCUUGCUGAUGUAUAUAAGUAAAACUGGUAAAAAUGGUUGUUACAUAAUAUAAUACUGAUUUUGAUUUAGAAAAUAAAAUGUGCAAUUUAGGUGAAACAAUUCCCAAUGGCCACGCUGCCAGGAUUCUUUUUUUUUCAAAUUGAAAAAAAUCAAAACAAUAUUAUAGGUAGGCACGUAAUAUUAUUAUGAUUAUGAAUACCUAUAACGAAGUUUGUAGGAAGUACUGAAAAUUAUAAGAUAUUAACUGUUUAUUUUUGUGUUUAACAUUUUAUAUGUUACAAUGUGUAAAACAAUUACCGAGUUUAUGGUUGAAUAAGACUCGAUUAAUAUAAUAUGGGGAACGUAUGCAAAAUAUUAUGAUAUUUUUUGAAACUAAAUACCUACUUUUAUUGAUAUUAUAUGCUCACAUUAUUUUUUAAAGAAUAAAUACAAAAAUAAGUUCGUACAAAAGUAUUUUAUAUUAGAGUUAAUAUAAGAGAUAAAAAUUAAAUUGUAUUUAAAUAUUAAAUUUUCAUUAAUAUAAAUGAAAAAAAAAAAUAAUAAUAUAUUUUUUCCAAACAAUCAGACAGGUUUAAAUUUAAUGAUUAUAGUUUUUAAUUAAAAUUGAACUAUUUUUGUGCAAAAAGCAAUGUCUCGAUUUUGAAGGAAAAUGUUUUUUUUUUAUCUCACCGACAAACAAAAACUAGGGAUGUUUAUAAAUAGUGACUACUUAGAAAUCACUGAAAUGUUAUACCUAAAGUCCGUUAAGAACGAUGACAAUAUUUACAAUGACAUAUAAAAAUGGAGACACCGAUAUUAUAAUAUAUAGAAUUUAUUCUUAAUUGAUAUUAAAAAUACAUUUAAUUCGUUACUAUGUAUUUAGAUAUUUACAAUUUUAUAUUUGUUCUUAGAUAAUUAGAUAUUCGUUACACAGUUAUUGAAUACGUUUAGGACGUCGCAUUUUAGACAAUUAGUAAAAAUCAGCUAUUUUAUAAGUAGGUACUUAAGGUUUAUUUUUUAUAAAAAAAAGAUAUUUUAUGAAUAUUGAAAUACACCAUAUUAUUAAUUAUGUAAUACUAGUCAUACAAUCAAUCAAUAUUAUUACCAACUCAUAUAAUACACUGGCAUGUAUUGUUUAGUUUUUAGUUAAAUAACUAGCAAUGUUUUAUAUCGUAUAUUUAGUACAAUUAUUUUAUUAAGAUAAUAAUAAUUUUCAGUGGAGCCGAAUUCUGCCUUAGAUUUAAAAUUAAAUUACUUAAAUAAUUUAUUGGAUACUUGGAGCAUAGUAUUAUGAUAAUUUUAUAAAAGUACCAAUCAUUUUUUAUGUUAGACUAUUACAACUUAAUUUUUUAAUUUAAUUACUACGGUUUAGUGAAGAUCCCACGAAAAACGAUAAAUGGUACACAUGUUGCCAUAAAACAAGUAUUAUUUCUGUUCAUUAUAUAAAUUAUUAUUUACUUUAAAAGAGAUUCAAAAUGUAAUAGGUAUUUUGAAAUUGUACAGGUUCAAAGUUCGGUGCCACUGAUUUGAUAUACAAGUGACAAUAAAUGAUUAUAAAUGUUUGUUUUUUUAAAUUUGUUUUAGAUAUAUUCUCAUCAAUGUUUAUCACGACUGGGGUAAAAUAAUUGUUCUAUGAAAGUCUAUAAUCAUGAUAAGUGGACAAAUAUUUAUGAUAUAAAAAAAAAUACAUGCGGAAUACUGAUUAGUUCGAUCUGAUAAACCACCAAUGUGUCUAAAAGUUAGAAAAUUGACGCAGCUUAUCAAGUUUUUUGUGACUAAAAAAAUCAUACGCUCCGUGAGGUUUAUUAUACUAAAUUAUAUAUAUAUAUAUUUUUUAAAUAAUAAUAUUGAUGAUAGUAAUGUACUUGUAGAAAGUAUAUAAAAUGUAUUUGUAUGAAAAUAGACUAUGAAAAAAAAAUGUCCCAAUUCACUUGUUUUUAUAGGAUUGCACACGUAAUUAAACGUUUCCUGCAGACCUCGUCAAAAUUGAUGCUAGAAACAUAUAUUGCUUUUAGUAUACGUAUACGUUAAAUUGACUCUCAGCAAAACCUUAGAAGUAGAGAAGCCAAAGCGGAGAAUGUUCUUGGAUGAAUAAUCAUGAAUGUGUCAUCUUAUAAACACCUCUUUAUAUUGUAUAUAGAGAGGUACAGUUUUACUUGGCUUUUAUUGGUGACAAACUUCUGCAGGAUGUACCUAUGUGUUUCGAAUAUGCUGAAAUUACCUAUUUGACAUUGUACAGGUCUCGUUCAAGUGAUGUUUGUUUUAAUUUUAUUUAAAAAAAUAAAUACAAAUUUAGAAUGUGACUUUGUUAUGUUCUAUACAUUAUAAUAUUACCUAUGUGAUUAAUCUAAAAGUUCACAGUGAUUGGCGAGGAGAAAAUAUUCCCAGGGGUCGAAAAGUUCGACCACCAGUGUUUAUUUUUCGAUCGAUGAAAGUACAAUGCUUUGGUGUGUAAUGUAAGGGCAACAACUUUUAUAAAACUGUUUUGAUAACAAUUAAUAUUUAUACGACAAAUUUGCAUGUUUACCUUUGCGCGCUUGCACUUUGUUCAGUACCUACCUAACGGUACACUUUUAAUGCAAUCAGUUUGAAAAUGUAUAAAUUACAGCGAGACUCGUACGGCAAACAAUUAUUAUCUUAAAAAUGUACACUAGGUAUAUUAUGUAGUGUAUACCAGAUUAAUUAACAUAAUAAUAUAUUGGGUUUGAAGUUCACUCUGGUCGAGUGUAUCUCGAACGUAUUAUAUUGAUUUAUUUUUUUAUGUCGUUUAUUUUAAAAACAAUAUCAUUGCCGUAUAUCGUUGGUAAACGUGCAAAUUGUCGUGAACUAAUAUCGUGAUAAGCAUGCGGUUGUAUUUGGUGUAUUAUAUGAGAUUGGUACUUACAUUUUAAAUAGUAUCAUUCAAAAUAUUUUAUGUAUUUCAAAAUAAAAUAUGUCUUAAAAUAUUUAUAAAAAAUAGUAAUUGUUUUUCUUAAAAUAUAUAUUGACUUGUAAUCUUGUGUAUUAUUAUUUAUAUUAUACGUUUAUUAUAAUAUUAUUAUAUCCAUAUCGUUUCGCUGUAGGACUAUGGGCUCUUAGAUAGUUGAUAGGUAGGAGAUAUCUGAUAUUGUGGAGCUAAUUUAUUACCAUGUGUUGUUACUUUGUCCCAAGUCAUGUUAGGCGUAGGUAACUGUUUGUCUUUACUGUAGCCUGUGGUAGGUAGUAAAACUAAGCGAUUAAACGACAUUAAAAUUGAACAUUGAUAACUAUCCGCACAAGUAGAGCUUAAAUAUGGAUUUAACUAUUAUAUUAAUAUGACUAUAUGAACUAAUUUAACUAGGUAGUAACAAUUGCAGGGAAUAAUAAUAUUUCAGUUUUGUAUGUCAUACUGUAGUUUUAUUUAUUAUUAACAAAUAUUUAUAUUAAACAGGUACGUAAAAUAAUGUUCAAAAAUAGGAUAUUGUGAUUUUAAUUUUAAAUUACUUAUUGUUAUGCUGUCCCGGCGUCAUAUCAUCAUUAUUGUUUAAUUUUUAUAUUGUAAUAAUUGAGAAAUGAGAGAGUAAAAUAAUAUAUAGCUAUGGAUUGAGUAUUAAAACCAAAGUUUAAUAUUAUGUUACUUUUAUAGAUACGAUUAAAAUUUAAAAUAAGUAUAUUAUUAUAAGAGUCGAAUUAAAAAUAUAUGGUAACAUUAUAGAUUAUAAAAAAAAAUCACCAUUUACUUUUUAUCAUUAUAUUAUAGCAGUGUUCUUACAGGAUAAUUUGGGUUUACUGAAAGAAAGUUUUCAAAUUGUAUAUAUUUUAGUGUUAAUUUGAUAUUAUUAUUAUUUAUAGUUGAGAUAAAAUAUUAAUAUAGAACAAAGAUCGUCAUAUUAUUACAUUUAUUGUAAGCAAAACAAAUUAAUCAUAACGUAUCGUCCGGAUCACAAAAAGUUUUCAAGUAUUAAAUAUUAUAUAGGUAAAUGGCUAGUGUUAUUGCACUUGUUGAUGUACGCUAUGCGCCGUCAUUAUGUAUAUACAUGAAUAAUAAUAUGUAUUGUAGUUCAUUAAUUUAUUAGUUUUUUUACUUAUUUAUGUAAUUAUUUAGCAAUAUUUACCAACCUAUUAUUAAAUUUUGUUCAGUAGGUAUUUUACAUUUCCAUCUCGUAUUGAGUUUCAUUACACUUGUUUGGAUUUUUGCUUCCAUUAUUUAUUCGAGUUUUCAAAUUAUCCUCUUAUUUGUAUGACCACUAUUGAAAAUGUAUAUACUCGUAUUAAUUUAUUUUCACGUGAAAUGUAUAGUAGCACUACCAAAGAAACGUUUUAGUGUAUUCUUCAGUCUUCUACUCUUAGUUCAUUUUCUGUGUUAAAACAACAUCAUGAAAAUAACAUUUUGAUAUUUUGUAGAUCCAUAAAAAUGUUUUAACGUUGCAUCCAUAUUACAUUAUUAUUUUUUCUUUUUAUUACUAUUUUAUCUUCAUUAUAUUUCUUUUCUUUCCACUAUUUCAUUAUUAUAAUAUUAUAACUAUUUAUUUAUAUUUUUGUAAUUCACCAAUGUGCGUAUAUUUUUUAUUUUUUACAUCAUUUGCGUGUAUAGUGUAAUAAUAUAUAGAUAAAAGUAUAAUAAAUUAAACUACACGUACAUGUUAGGUGCAGUUGUAUUAUUUUAUUUUACGCAUACUAUCCAAUCAUUUUUAUGCGCUAUUUAUUACAUAUUUUAGUGCAUUUAUGGAAACAAAUUAAAUGUAAACUAUUCCUACUCCCAAACCAUUGUGUUAAAAACGGUUUACGAGUUUGUACACAACAAUAAUAUUAUAUACCAUGAAGUUUCAUUGUAUAUUAUAUAUCAUGUCGGGAACGUACCGUCGUUUUAAAAGUUUUAAAACCCCGCGCGUUCAUUUAAUCACUUUUUGGGUGAUAUAACGUAACAACCCGGCGGGUCGUGCAGUGUCAUUAAACAACAAUAGGCAGAAUAAGGACGAAUUGAAAUAUUACGAAUGGCGUCUUAAAGUUUGCUCGCAUAUACAGUGCACAUAUUGCGCGUGUACCGAUCACAGCAGAGGUAAUGAAUUGUAAAACGCAGUUAAUUAUAAUAUGUUAUGAUAAUACCGUGUGUGAUGCGCGCGCGAUGUAUACCUAUUGAAAGUUCGCGAUGGUGUAUUAGAUAGUUUUAGUCGUGUAUUUUAUACGCAUUAUUAUAUGAUAAUUAUACACGCGCAAAUUAAUCCGACAUUGCGGCGGGGUAUUCAUAUUUACAAUAAAUGAUUUAUUCAAUACACCAUCAUAUCGACACACACCCCAAGUCUGUCUGUGUGUGUGUGUGUGUGCAAUGUGCGCCUUACAUAUUGUAUCAUGAGCGCAUAAACACGUGUGACGGGCUCUAGGUUAGUUAUACGGAUUAAUUUUGAAACUUUUGACGUGCAAGUCCCGUGAUUUUGGCGCUCUUAUAGUUUGCGCCCGGUGGUUGUCUUGCAGAACAUAUCUGUUGUACAUCUAUACAAUACACAGCCGUGCAUAUUAUAUAUUAUGCGCGAUGUCGACUCGGCGGGUUCUACCUCGGUAUCCGACAAUGGAAUUUAAUAAUGAUAUUCGUCGUUCAUCAAUACGCAGUGUAAGCCUGGCUUGUGCAUAAACGUAAUAAUAAUAAUAAUAUUAUAAUAUAGGUAAACACCACACUAUAAUAUUCUUAAAACGUCUCGAAUACGGUAUGAAUAUAUUAUUAUCAUUACUGCCAUGUUAUGUGCAUCGUGUGUGUGUGUGUGUGUGUGUGUGUGUGUGUAAGCGUGGUUCGAGUGGAAAUUAUUGCGCCCGGUAUAUUAGGCACGGUAGAUGGUACCGAUAUUUUUUAUUAUUAUAUAUUAUAGGGUAAAAAGUAAAAACAUAUUUAUUUAUUUACCCAAACGUAUGGGUAGUACCUAUACCUAAGGUAAUUCAAUGUCUAUGAUUUUUAGAUAGUGUCGAUCCCAGACUUGUGAAUUUACAGUUUGAUAUUUUUACGGUCAACAAUUUGGAGAUUAAGGUCUACUCAGCUGAUAAUACUAUUUAAAAGGUUUUAGAAUUUACGUUAACGGUAACUCACUGUCACGACAAAAACAUUAUAUAGGCUGUGAGCGAAAUCUCUGUGUACAUAAAUAAUGCGUGAGUGUAUAAUAGCAUAUUAUGCGUAUAUAGCUGAAGUCGAAUGAUUUUUUUUUCUUGCCUCCUCGAAAAUUAAAUAUAAACUGAUUUGAUAAAGCAGAGAGGAAAAAAAGGACGAAACUUUUAAUAGAGCUGUGGCCGAAAAAGUUUAAAUUUACUUUGUUGUUGUUUAUUGUAUACGCAGAGGAUAAUAUUCUGAAGUUGGAAACGUAUAACGCCGCCGAUUGAUAGAUAAUCGGUUAUUUUCAAAAACACUCGCCGCCGCCCAUCCCGUCAAUCAAUCUCUCGUUGUUGCGUUUUAACAAGUUUAAAGUCCAUCCCAUCCACACACCCUACCACUGUCCGCACACGAAUCUCGUUUGAUCGAUAUGGUUCGAAUAGAACUUUGGGGGUGCGUUUGAAUGUAUGCAGCAGUGCGUGAGCUGAGUAUUUUUCGGCAACAGUUCCGAGUUGAUAUUAUUUCGAUUAUUAUUAUUAUUUGGCAUUAACAUUCGCAUAAUACUAACACUUCUCCAACAUAGACACAUAAUGACGUUAUUCAAACGAAUUUAUAUUUUGAUUAGGUGUUUCCACUUUGUUGUAUUAGGUAGGUCGGUAUUGAAUAAAAAUGAAUGAACAGUCCGACAAAAAACAAAUUGUUAUUAUGGACUUCAUAAUAUUGGCUAUACUAUUUUUAAGUUCGUAUACAUAUUAUAAUUAAACUAUACCUAAUCUAAAGUCAACGAUGAGUGUAUUGAAUUUUGAAUAAAUAGAAAAUUGUCUUAUCGUCAAAUAAGUGUUAUCUUUAUCUGUGUAGAAAAACUAAAAAAAUAGGAGUGAAACUCAACUACUUUAAGUCUAUGAGGAUACUUAGGUAGACAUAAAUGUAUGAUUUUUAUAAUACAUCAAUGGGUGCAACUGUCGUUGUAGGUAAUGUUAUAUUUGAUUUUACAGUUUUUAAAUCAAUCAUCAAAUAAAAUAUGUUACCAUUAUAGGUAGGUCGAUACCACUAAAAAACUAAACAAUACCGAAUUAAGUGAAAUCUAUUCAAACCAACUUUUUAUUUUAACUUGACUUAUAAGAUGUAAUGGCUAGCCAUGUACCUAUGUUUAACUUCAAGCGUUAAUUAUAAUGUAGGCAUAGUUUGCUAGGUAUAUAAUAUUAUGAUAUAGUUACCUAUUAGAGAUGUACCUAUAAGAAUAAAUUUUUUUUUUAAGGAAAUCGUGAACGAAUAUUGUAUAACUUGUAAGUUCUAUAGGUAGGUAAUAUAAGGUACCCUUUUUAAUGUAAUUUAGCACCAUAAAUGGUGAUAAGCAUACCUUAAAUAACUAUAGUGGUUAAAAGAAAAAAUUGGAAGUUUUAAAUAUAAUAUUGAAGCCCCUAAUUAGGGGUACUAAACUGAAUUAACAUUAAUUCUAUGACUACCAAAAUAGAUACAUAGGUGGUCAGUAAUCAUUAUAUAGGUAGGUAUAAUAAGUGUAUUAUAAAUGUAGGUACAAACAAUAGAACGAUAGUAUUAUGUCUUAAUCAUAUUAUUUUAAUAUUAUCGUGUUCUGAAUCGAAAAUAUUGAUUGUCUUGGAUAAUCGGAUGUAAUAUGCAAAGCAGAUAAAUAGUCUUAUAUUAUGGAAAUAACGAUCCGUCCAUUAUUAUGGUAAUGCACAGCCAUGGGUAUUUCAAUUUUACGAACAACUGAACAAAUUGCGUGUAUUAUACAUUUCACGUAAAAUGAUAAAUAACUGCGCGCGGUGGCGUUUAAAUGAUUGUAUGUGCCCACUUAUAUUGUAGGUAUGUAUGCGUUGUUAUCCUGCUGGUUGUUCGGUCCAUAACGGCUGCUGCAGGGUCGUAAAAUUAUUGUUACCUAUAGAAUAAUAUCAUAUUAUACGAACCACUAAAUAAUAAUAUAAUAUGACGUCAAUCCGUUAAUGUUGCACUUGAAUAGGUAGAUACUUAAUAAUUGCCGAUCACAAGUUUGUUUUCGAUAUGGUACCCCCCGCUGUCUUUAAGUAUAUAGGCAUCUAUCUCUAUAACUUCCAGUAUGUAUAAUAAUAUCUAUUAUGUUGGUGACGCUAUUAAAAUAUUAUGUAUACGAUCAAACGCGGGAACUUAAUAUAUAUUAUAGGUAUAGGUACGCUCUCGUUGAGAUCACUGGAGUCGAGUUAAACCGAUAAUGAUAAUAAUAAUAAUUAUUAUUCUUGUAAAUAUCUAUUCAUUUAUUUUUUAAUCCACGUCCUUUAUCCCGAGAUGGGUUGAUUACAUAGAUUCCCAUAUUAUUCAACUCACGUUUUCGUCGGAAGAGUAAUGUUCCGGGAUCUCACACAGUAAUAGGUAUAUAGAAUAUAGUCGCCUUAUAGAAUAAUAAAAUUGACAAAGUUAUGCCAAGCUUUUAGAAUUUAUUGUUUCGUUAACUUUUAUCGCCUGUAUAAUAAUAUGUAUUAUAUCGUUGUAUUUGUGUAUAUUUUUUAAGUUUUCAAGUGAAAACAUAAGAACAUUUCAGAAUAUGUGCCGUUUGAGUAUUUUGUUAUAUUAUUAUCGUUUUUACUAAUAAAGUUUUCAGAAGACGUAUUGUCGUCGAAACAGUCAUUAAAAAUUGCAAUGAUAGUUGGAAAUUAUCAUAUAGAAAAUACGGAAAUAUUGCCAAAUUAAAAUAAAAUACGUAAAAAUAGUAUUAUAAAACGUUAUAGUAUGUAUAUACAAUUAAUUAAAUUAUUUAUUUGAUGACAUAUUAAUGAUAUAAAUUGCUAUACAAUAGAAAAAUCUGUAGGGUUGAUGGUAUAAAAUAAUGUUAACUUAAUAUUUUCACUGUAGAUUAUUGAUAUAAUAGUUUAUACUUUUUAGUUUGUAUAAAAUAUACUUCUUAGUUUUUAGUGUAUAAGCACUACACAUGACAUUAUUACUGCAACACACACACGCGUAGCAGUAUUAAUUAGAUAACAUGGACAUUUUAUGUUAAUUGAUUCAUAAUUUAUCUAAAAAUAAAUAAUUACUUGUUUAUCCUAUUUGUAUUGAUAGGUAGAUACUCGUUGAUUAAUGAAAGAGUUGUAAGGUAUUGUAUGAAUGUAUAAAGUAUUUGGGAACAUUUAUUUCUGAAACUAUUUCUGCAUAUAGUAACCUUUUAGAAAUCCUUCUAAUACGUUUUUUUUAUGUAAUUUUGUCCUAUCUUUACUAUGCAAUGUAAUGAGCAAAGCGUGCUAAUUGUAGGGUAAAAUUCAAACUGUGCGUAGCUUAUUAGAAAUUUGUUUAUAAGAAAUUACAUUUACACCGGGUUUGAGUGCACUUGAUAUUAUAUAUCAUGUACCUACUUACACUGGUAAAAAAGUUGUAUUUAUCCUUUAUAAUUAUAUAAAUUUGAUUUUUAGAGGAAAAACAUAGAAAUGGAAUUAAUUUUUUCAACGGUAUAGCAAAUGUUAAUAGCCUCUGUAAAUGUUUAAAAGUUUGUGAAAGCAAUUUGCCUAAAAGUGUUCGAUUAAAAGUAUUUUUUUGUUCUAAGUUUUGAGUUUAGAUUAAAUUUUAUUUUUCACAUAAAUAUCAAACAAUAAAACAGUCGAUUACCUAACGUUGAUAUAAUGCCAAUGAAUGGCGAUGAUGAUGAUGAUAAUAAUAAUAAUAAUAAUAAUAAUAAUAAUAAUAAUACAUUUUGUAUCAUAGAACGAUAUUUUGUAAUAGGUAGCCACACACUAUAACACAUUGAACUUGUAAUCAAUUAUAAGGAAACUCGUUAUGUUUGGUUUUUGAUCUGAAAAGUUUUUUUAAUAAAAUAUAUAUAUGAUUAUAAAAAUGUUGAUGAAAAAAGUUUAGAAUCUUAAUACCUAUACAUAUUUGGUGAUAGUAACAGAACUUGUAAUAAAUUAUACUUCAAUAGGUCUAUAUUUAUAUAAUGUAUGAAUAAAGACUAUAUACGGGCAUUGUCGCACUCAUUGGAGCUAAAUAGACAAUAGUACCUAUAUACGUAUAACAAAUAUCCAAAUAUUAUAAAAACCAUUACAAAAAAGUAUGACGUAUUUGUUCUGUAAAAUUAACCAUUUAGAAAACUGUUUCGAUUGGUAUAAAUACCUUCUGCGAAAUACCUGAUACAUAAUAUACACACGGUUAAGCAGCUUAAGUAAUAAAAUCUAUUAGUCUUAUAACAAGUGUACAGGUAAAAAUAAAAAUUGUCCUUACAGACUGUAUGUAUAGGUUAUCUUUUUAAAAUUUGUAUUAAUUGGUAGGUUAGGUACCAGGUUUAGCUACCUGUUAUUAUUAUAUAUUAAUGUCAUUGGUUUCCAAAACUUUGAUUUGCAAACAAUAUAUGCACUAUGUUUAAGGUACCUAAUAAUAUUUAAGCUAUAUGUUGUUCGGGAAUAGAGAAAUGUUAUUAUUUAUGACCUAGAGAUAUAAAAACUUAAAAUAUUAUAUAGAUUUAUCGUUUGAAUAUUAUUUAAGUUUCCUCACUAACAUUCUUCAAACAAAUAUCAUGCCAUUAAAUAUUAAAUUACGAAAUAAGGAUUCAUAAAAUAUUGUCUUAUUUGCAAACGAUUUUCACUAAGUUGUUGACUUACUUUGUGUAUCAUUCAAAUUUAAUUACAGCUAAAUAAAUAAAUAAUAUUAUUUUAUGAACAGCAGAUUAAACACGUUUUCUGUGUAAAUGCAGGUUAUAAAUUACAACAUAAACAAUAUUGAACAUAUAACUUAAAUAUAAUUUAUUUUAAAAACAUGUACCUAAAGAUUUUAAACAAAUACAAAUAUUUAAUUCGAUACUACUAAGUACUAAUAAACUUAUUAUUAAAUUAUGUAGGUACACAUUUGUGCUUAGCGAACCAUUCACAUUUAUGGGUUUGAAUAUUAAUUAUUUGUGUAUUGAUAUCUCUACGCACUGCUACACUAGUACUAGGUAGUCAUUAUUAUUAUUUUUAUUUAUUAUUUAUUUAUUAUUUGUAGUAUAACAUAAUACAAUACAUAUUAUAAUACAUUAUUAACACAAACUGUACAGUUAUGUUUAAUAUUUUUUUUAAAUACUACCUACUAUACAAACUAUAAAAAAAUAUGGAUUUUUAUUGUACCUAUUUAAUUUUUAAACUUUUUUUAAAUAUUGUUACUUAUGUGACAUACAUUGCACUUAAUUAUGAUUAUUUUUAAUAUAACCAUGCAAUUAGUUAUAAAUUAAUUGAAAAUAAUUUAGCGCACGACUAAAUUUUUAAGUGUAUUUCGUAUGGAUCGCUAGAAAAAGUUGUUGAGCAAGUUUAUCCCCAUCAAAAUUAUACGCAGUCACCCAGACAUACACGAAUGGUUUACUUAGAAUUAGCCAUGGUGCAAAAUAUGUUAUUAAAUAACACUGCAGUAGGUAUACUUUAAGGAAAUACGAGUAAACGUGAAUAUAGCGUAACUAUACAGCUAAAGUGAUACAAAAUAUAAAUAAAUUAUACUUGUAAUAGUAUAUUAUAUGUAGUACAAUCUUUUUUAUUUUAACUUUUAUAAAUCAUAACGUAGUAAGACCUUAAAAAAAGUACAGUAGGUAGUACCGGUUCUGUCCUGUAGACUAGAGAAAAACUUUGAUUGGUACAAUGUAAACAUUGAUGAUAUUGGGCACCUAUUUUGGACCUUUCUAAACCUAUAGGUUAUAGAAUUAUAGCACUUCAUAAUAAAAUAAAAUAAUAUAAUAAAUAAUAAUAGGUCAUGUGAAUAAUUACGUAUUUGUAUAUCGUGAUUACAGACUAUAAUAACAGUAUCAGAGAGAGUAAAUAUUUCUUUACAAUUAGUUUUAUUACCUACCACAAAUUAUUUUUCACAACAUUGAAAAGCCAUAAUUAAUGAAAAUAAUAUUCGAGAAGAUAGGUACCUAAAUCAAGUAUAAAUUGUCUAGUCGCUAUUUUAUUAUUUUGUUGACGGUUGUAUCUUGUGCUAUAAUAUUUUUAAUGCGACUUACAUGAUACAUACGACACAAUGAAUUACAACUUACAUUUGAUAUGACAUAAGUCAUAUCAUUGUAGUUAUGACUUUGAAUAUGAUGGUGUGACUCGUGUAGACUAUUAUAAUCGUAUUAUACGUAAUAUACGUAAAACAAACAUAAUAUAUAGGUUGUAAAAUAUAUUUUAAAAUGUAAUUAAAAUACUGGAUGAAUACUAUUUUGAUCAAUAUAUUAUAAUAUUAUGUAAGUACAACGUACCUAUUUGAAAAUGAAUUAAAUUCAAAUUUAUUAUGUUUAUUUUUUUUAAUUACGAUAUUUAUUUGUUUGAAAUGUUCAUCCAUCAUCUUACAGGCAACAAUAUAUUUUAUUUAAUGAUGUUAUGGGCAACUACACAGCUGUAUAUAUAGGAACCGUCUCUAUAAUAUUAGCUAUAUAUUCGUAAAUACAAUAUAGGUAGGUAGGUAACUAAUAAUUCUAUGGAAUUACAUUUCGUUGUUUCAACAUCAUAAAUUACACAUUAACACGAUCAUUUUCUGUUAAAUUUAAACUUGUUAUUACGAUCGUCAGAACAAUUACGAAAUAAUAAGAUAAAGUGUUCAAUACAUAUCAAUAGUUAAAUGCGUAGAUAUUAGGUAUAAUGUACUAAUUAAUUUUACACAAAUACUUUGCAACACUUGCCUACUAAAUUUUAACCUGACUACUGCUAUUAUAGGUAGGUGUCUGUUUACUUUAUGAGUUUAAUUUAGAAUGACAAAUAAUGUAGGUAAUUAAAAAUAACACUUAACUCAUAUCGUUAUAGAGUCGUCGCAAUAAAACGUAUACCGAUUUGGAUUUAAUUAGUUAUACGGUUCAGCAGUGUUCGUUCGUUGAAUUUGUACAUCUAAUUUUGUUGAUUAUUUAUGACGAGUCUAUGUCCGAUUUUAUAUGCCGUAUUAUAUUAUCAUCGAGAAUAAUAUAUACGUGAAAAUAUCACCGUAUAAAUCGUGUAUAAAAUCGAACGCAAAACCCGAGUUUAAUGUUGUAUAGCAAUUAGUAUAUUUAGGCAGGUAGGUAAUUGAAACGGUUUUAUUCGACAGUCGACCGGUUAACGACCGUAAAAAAACGGAAUUUAACACGGUCAAGCGACAAUGGUAACUUAUUAAGUCACACCGCUCGCAGUGUAUGUCCCGUUCAAUAUGAUUUGUCUGUUUUCACAGUAAUGUUAUUUGUGUGUCGGCCACCCACGUCUUGGAGUCCGGGGCCAUUAUUGAGGAUUAUGAAUGUAUAAUAAUUACAGAACACAUAGGUACACGCGUCGCUAUUACAAUCGAAUUGAAAAUGAAAACAACACCGUUAAUAAUGUGUAUAGAUAGGUGGUAUAUUAUGUACCCCGCACGAUACCGAGCGGUUAAAUCACGCGUAUUUAAUGAUUUAAUUCAUUGUGUACUGCGAUCACAUGUUUUAUGGGUAAUAGAGUAAAAUGUGCACAAUGCAUUACUAUAUUAAUAAAUUGUCUGUCCUAUAAAGUAUUUGAAUUUAACCGAUCGUUAAAUAGGAAUCAAUGAAAUGGUAAACACGUAAUAAACAUGUGUUCGACUGUGCGCCUGUGCGUAGUAUAGAACAGCAUAAUUAAUAACACAAGACAUACGUCUACACAACUGUAAUGAAAAUCCAAAAUUACGGGAUUGGUAUAUUUUUUUUUUUUUUUUUAUUAGAUUUUAAGGCUUUAACGACUGAGGUCAUUAGCCUGUAAGGUUGGUAGGGUUGGGACUGUUGGUACGGUCGGUUAGGAACACGUGUAUGUGUGACAAGGUUUUUGCGCACAACGAACCCAGAUGGUCACCCAUCCGAGAACGAGUGGCAGCGGCCGUUGCUUACUCUUAAUCACGUCGCGUGAUUAAUUUCAGCCACUGCGCCGUGCCAAGUCACGAUUGGUAUAUUAUUGUCGUAUAGCCGUUAUGAACAUAAUAUAUUAUUUUAAUAUAGAAAAAUGAUAGCUUUUCAAUUUUUUUAUUGUAAUAGAGUAAAUCCGACGAUAUAGUUACCUAGCUGAUAUAUAUUAUUACAUAUUUUAGUAAAAUAAAACUUAUAAGUCAAUUUUCAAUUCGAUACAUUAGGUAAAAUACCUAAUGUAGGUAGGUACUCAAAUACUGUUUGUGUGAUGAUAUUAUAAUAAACUCGUAUCUUAAUUAAAAUGUAUAGGUACUGAACUUGCCUUGUCCAGUGCUAACACACCAGAACUAGUAAGAAUUAUAUAAUGACAACUGUAAAAAAAUAAAUAAUAUAAUUGAUGUAUGUAACUUAAAUUGUAGGUAUUUAUCCAGAGUAAGUUCAACUAAAUACUUAAAUGUAAUAUUUGAUGAGCAUUUAAAGUGUAAACCUCAUAUUGAAAUAAUAUAAGAAAAAAAUUGUGUAUUUUGCAUUAGUACAAUCUAUAUUAAUGUAUAGUUUAAUUGUAUGGGGAACAACUUAUAAAAAUUUAUUGGAACCAUUAAAUAUAACUCAUAGAAUAGGAGUACUAAUGAAAAAUGACAAUGUUAAUAAAAAUUGUAGUACAAAUGAUUUAUUUAAUAAAAUAAAAAUAUUGACAUUAGAACAAUUGUAUGACAAAUUAUCAACCACUAAAGUGUUAAUGAAUAAAACUGAAUAUGAAUACCAAAAUACAUAUAAUACACGUGGAGAGAAUAGUGAUAACCUAAGAUCAGUUAAACCAAAUACCAUACGUUGAUGGCAAAUUAUUAUAUAAAUAGGAAUAUAAAAUUAUUUAAUCACUUGCCUGCUGAUAUUAAACAAAUUUAUAAUAUUAAUAAGUUUAAAUUAAUGAUAAAAAAUAUAUUCAUGCGGUCGUUUGACUAGUGUCUUAUUAUUAUAAAUUAUACUUCUUAUUGUUAAAGUCAUUAUUAUCAUGUUGGAAAAUAAAUAAAGUAUACACUUGUUAAUGCUUGUUUAAAUGUAAUAAAUAACUAUGUAACAGACUCCCAGCUCCCGCCACAAGCUUUUCUUAUAGUGAGUAUAGGUAUCAACGUGAAUAUGAAAUAUAUUGCAAUAUUAUGUAUGUAUAAAAGUUGAUUAUCAAUAAGUAAAAAUAAAUAAAAUUAAAACAAAUACUGAUUGAACAUAUUGUGAACACCAAUAUAUUAAAAUCUAAAAUGCUCGGAAAAAUAGCUGUUUAAGUUUAGGACGUGCACUCCGCUAUCUAAAACGCCUUUUGGUUUAAUAUUUAAAUAUGAAUUACGGUAUAUAUUUUGAAUUGACAACUUUAUUGCCCAUAGGUUAGGAUAUACAUAGGUCAGAAUAAGUCGCAUUUCAGAAGAAUUAUUAUUGACGUAGAUUUAGGUUUAUACUGUAGAGUGUAGAAAGUAGAUUAUAGUAUACACCUACUAUAUCUGGUACCUAUAAAAUAUUAUUAAUUUGAUAAAUUCAAUCGUCGCCGUAUUUUAAACGCCCAAGACAUAUUUUGAGUUUUUUUUUUAUAGUUUUACACAAGUUAUAAUAAUCUUUUACGUUCCUCUUUCGGGACAGAGAUGAAAUCAUCGCUCGCCUAGUCGGUAUUAUAUUCACCAUUCGGAGUUAUUAUCAAUAAUAAGCCAUUCUCGUAUCCCCGUAUACUGAUUAUUUUACGAUUAAGCCCGUAUUUAGAAUUUUUCGUUGCCCUGAUUUCUGCUAAACUCACUCGCCCUGCCAUUACAAAACCGACCUUAAAACUUUGCUCGGAGACCGAAACAAAACUUAAAACUUAUUCAAAUGAAAGGCUUUUAAAAUGUUGUGCAAUUCUCAAAGGUCAAGUAGAAAAAAAAAAUUAACCCAAUCUCAGCGAGUCUUGCAGGAGAAAGCUACGGGAACGACCGUUUUUAUAAACUUUUACGGUUUUCGUAUACACGAGUAGUGUACUCAUUGAUGUUUUUGACAAUUUAAUUAACACUUUAGUAGUGUUCUUUUAGUCUCAGCGUUGUUUUUUUCGUAAAAUAAUAUUACUAUUGUCGAAAUAUUGACGAGAUUAAAAUUUAGUAUGUAUUUAAUACAUUUCACUUAUAGGUUAUACCUAUAGGUGUAUCUAGGGUUUUUCAAUCUCAUAUAGUUUAUUUGCUUCAACUUGCAAUGAAAUAGUAAAGGUAUUUAAUUUUUGUUAAAAAUUCGAAAAUAAACCGACUCCUUAAAUACUCCCAUAUUAAUUACGAGUUAUUAUACCUGUAUCAUUAUUAUUGGUGUCUGUGCGUCGUUGUUCUACAUUGUAGAAUUUAAAAAUUAUGACUUAUUAUUUACAAUAUUCAAUGCAGCUAUAUAACUCAUUAUGACUUUCAUAUUAAUUAUAAUAUAAUAUCUUAUUAUUGCGCAUCUACAGAUAGGUACAUAGUACAUAUUAUACUAAACAUUUUGUAAGAAAACCACUUUGUUAUACAAAACAUGAAUAUAAUGACAUUAUAAUGUAAAUGUACAACAAACUAUACAAUGACGUACAAAAUAUUUCAUUAUCAUAAGACGCUUGUCCCUUUGUGCGUCACUAUCGCUUAAUUGGUUACAAAUAAUAAGGAAGACAUCGGUGUUGUACAUAUACUUUUAUUCUAAAGUCUGUGUAUUACUUGGAAAAUGAAGACUGUUCCGUUCCAGUAAUAGUCGAUGCGUUCGAAAUUUGAAAAUUCUGUCUCUCUCCGUGGCUUGUAAACAGAUUUUUACGGUUGUACGUUUCUGAGUCUUUAGUUGUUUUUCGUUUUUUAAUAAUAGCCGGCUUUUGACAUAGGCGCUACUGGAGUUUUAUUUGUGACCGGGCUGAAAUAUAGACCAUUAUAAAUACAUGGUACUUACCUUAAUUUAAUUUAAUUUCGUUACACACAUCAUAUUUCAAAAUAAAUAUUUUUUAAAACUAUAUAUUAUUCUAAUGUUAAAUACCUAUUAUUAUACGCUUAUUCCAAAAUGUUGUGCUAUGUAUAUUUUGAGAUACCACAAUAGCUAACAUCAUUCGGGGCUUUUACAAUGGACUAAUUACAAUAGCAUAAUAUUAUAAUACAUACUAUAAGUAUCAUAACAAAAUAGUUGAAAGAUAGGCUGCUUUUUUUUUUACUAGACCCAAGCUACUUUUGACAAGUUGAUAUAAAUUUACGGGCGUAUUGUUAUUGAAAAUGUUAAUUAUAGUAGGUAUAGGAAUAAUAAUUUAGCCCACCCUGCAGUUAAAAUGAUCGCACGUAGGUAUAAAAAAUUUUUAGCGACCGCUAUUUCUAUGGUCAAAUGGUUAAUAUUAUUUUUAUUGCCAGAAAAUCAUUCUUAAACUAUUGUUCAAUGUUUGGUUGUAUCUGGGCAAAUGUUAAUAGAUAAUAUUUAUUUAUUAAAAUGUUUACCCUAUAAAGUUUAAAAUUAAUGAUAACAUUUUAAGAAUAGGUAUAUAACAUUAGAACGAAUUAACUUUAGUAGGUACCUAACCUACCUAUAGUAAUAUAACUGUUAUAUUGAAAAAAUUGUUUUUUCUUAAUCAGAUAAUAAUUAUACUACUUACCUAAACUUAAGUUUUUCGCAGGCACGACGAUUCUAUUUUCUACUAUUUUCAUUGUGAGGGGGAGGGGAGGAGUUAAAAUAUAAUUUAUGCAGGCUAAGCACUUCCAGUCUAGUUGCGUCUAUGUCUCUCGUCAUCAGAAUUGGAGUAUCGUAUGUAUAGUUUUGAAACAGCUUUGUCAGUCGAUCGAGGAGCGCAUAGUUUAAGCAGAUGUGAUUUUGUGAAUGGUUAUAGAGACGUAUGGAUUGAGUUUCAGCCGUGCAAAUCGUAUUCACAAAAUUGAUUUGAACUACAUUAACCUACUGAAACACAAUUUAUUAAUUGAUUUUUGUUUUGGAGUUUUUUACAGACGCGCCGCUCAGCUUCCCGGAGGUCAGUUAUGUUCUGAGGGGCCACUGUAGGUUCAGCUUGCUGGCCACACGUCCCUCAUCAUAUUAAAAAACAACAUUAGGGUUGUAUAGUCCUGGUGGCGAGUGUAUAUAUUAAUAAAUAAUAAUAUUUCUAAAUGAGAAUAAUUAAUUUUGAUUAAAUGAAUAUAAUAUGAACUCCACUUUCCACAGCACUAGUUUCGAGUUCAAUAACUUCCGUCCAAAGUGGCAAACUCAAACAGUAAAACCCAUUCGGUUGUGUAGUCGUAUAAUCAAAUGGUAGGUAUAUUCGCGCCAAUCGAACGUACAAAAUGUAUACCUAUACCUAACUAGUUUUAUAUAGGUACUCUUGUUUUCACCGCUAAUACCCUAAUGAAAAACUUCGUUUGAAAUGUCCGGAUGUUAGAGUUUAUCAUAUAAAUCAGAUAGUAGUUUAAUAUAUUUGUAUAUUCUGAGCCAAUCCGUUUUUUCUCCGCGGUAAUUACACCAUGUCCAAGGGGGAAUGUUCCGCUCAGAGGACACCGAGUUUACCUUAUUAGACAUCACAGGGAGAUUUACACAGUCGUUGUCCACCUAUUUAUGCCUCACACGAAAAUAUUUACCCUAUUACAUUAAUCAUCAGGGAGAUUUCACGAUUUUGGUCCACGAAUUCGUCCCUUACACAUAUUUACCGUAUUUUAAAAUUACAGGGAGAUUGGAAAGGGUUUUGCCCCUUACGGCUUUACUCGAUAAUUUUUACAGUGUACGCAAACAAUUUUUUUAUCCUCUGUAAACUCUCGAUUUUUUUUCUCCAAACCUUAGUACAAAACUGAAAUAAUAUUUACUGUAUUCACAUUGCCAUUCAUGUUGGUUGUAACACUGUAAUUUAAUUUUUCUUAUCGAUUUGAUAGCAAAUUAUCAAUUAAUGAAUGAAAAUGUCAUUACAAUAAAUAUUAUUUCAGUUAUAUAUUGAGGUUUGGUGAAAAAAAUUCGAGAGUUUACAGAGUGUAAAAAAAAAUAUCUAUUGCAGUGAUCCAAUCAAUGACGAGGUCCGUUCCAUACCACCUACUGUACAGCAGAGCGGUUAAUAACUUGACCACUUUUUAUUAUUUUAUUUUUAUAUAAUGUAGGCUGAUAAUUAUUUACUUAUAUAUCAAAGUUAAAAAUGUUUUUUUUUUUAUAUACUAUUUAAUACCUACAAUUAUUAUUAUAUUAUGAUAUUAUUCAUGUUUGAUAUUAUUACAAUAAAUGAUCUAUACUAUAAUUUCUUAA